rnacentral:rRNA from 1 species
CCCCAGACUCCUACGGGAGGCAGCAGUGAGGAAUAUUGGUCAAUGGGCUUACGCCUGAACCAGCCAAGUCGCGUGAGGGAAGACUGCCCUAUGGGUUGUAAACCUCUUUUGUCAGGGAGCAAUUGGCGCUACGUGUAGCGUUAUCGAGGGUACCUGAAGAAAAAGCAUCGGCUAACUCCGUGCCAGCAGCCGCGGUAAUACGGAGGAUGCGAGCGUUAUCCGGAUUUAUUGGGUUUAAAGGGUGCGUAGGCGGAAUGCCAAGUCAGCGGUAAAAUCGCGGGGCUCAACCUCGCUCCGCCGUUGAAACUGGCGUUCUUGAGUGGGCGAGAAGUAUGCGGAAUGCGUGGUGUAGCGGUGAAAUGCAUAGAUAUCGCGCAGAACCCCGAUUGCGAAGGCAGCGUACCGGCUCCACACUGACGCUGAGGCACGAAAGCGUGGGUAUCGAACAGGAUUAGAUACCCCCGUAU